UACGUAGGAGGCAAGCGUUGUCCGGAUUUAUUGGGCGUAAAGAGCGUGUAGGCGGCCACGCAGGUCCGUUGUGAAAACUGGAGGCUCAACCUUCAGACGUCGACGGAAACCGUAUGGCUAGAGUCCGGAAGAGGAGAGUGGAAUUCCUGGUGUAGCGGUGAAAUGCGCAGAUAUCAGGAAGAACACCUGUGGCGAAGGCGGCUCUCUGGGACGGUACUGACGCUGAGACGCGAAAGCGUGGGGAGCGAACAGG
rnacentral:rRNA from 1 species